rnacentral:rRNA from 1 species
GUGGAUCAGUGGCGAACGGGUGAGUAACACGUGAGUAACCUGCCCCAGACUCCGGGAUAAGCCUUGGAAACGAGGUCUAAUACUGGAUAUGAGAUGCCCCUGCAUGGGGAGUGUCUGGAAAGAUUUAUCGGUCUGGGAUGGACUCGCGGCCUAUCAGCUUGUUGGUGGGGUAAUGGCCUACCAAGGCGACGACGGGUAGCCGGCCUGAGAGGGCGACCGGCCACACUGGGACUGAGACACGGCCCAGACUCCUACGGGAGGCAGCAGUGGGGAAUAUUGCACAAUGGGCGAAAGCCUGAUGCAGCGACGCCGCGUGAGGGAUGAAGGCCUUCGGGUUGUAAACCUCUUUCAGCAGGGAAGAAGCGCAAGUGACGGUACCUGCAGAAGAAGCGCCGGCUAACUACGUGCCAGCAGCCGCGGUAAUACGUAGGGCGCAAGCGUUGUCCGGAAUUAUUGGGCGUAAAGAGCUCGUAGGCGGUUUGUCGCGUCUGGUGUGAAAACUCAAGGCUCAACCUUGAGCUUGCAUCGGGUACGGGCAGACUAGAGUGCGGUAGGGGUGACUGGAAUUCCUGGUGUAGCGGUGGAAUGCGCAGAUAUCAGGAGGAACACCGAUGGCGAAGGCAGGUCACUGGGCCGCAACUGACGCUGAGGAGCGAAAGCAUGGGGAGCGAACAGGAUUAGAUACCCUGGUAGUCCAUGCCGUAAACGUUGGGCACUAGGUGUGGGGCUCAUUCCACGAGUUCCGUGCCG